AAUGUGCAAUUUCCAUGUACAUUUCUGAUCGUACCAAAUUCCAAGGUAUUUAGAGCUGGUUGCCUGACAUAUGUUUUCUAAACCCAGUAGUAGUUGGACUUUCGAUGGAAAAACUUUUUUUGGAAAAUACUACUAUUUCUGACUUACUAGACGAAAAUGUAAAUCCUAGGUCGUUCGCCCAUUUCAUUAGAUUAUUCAAUGUAAUUUGUAAAUAAUGUUUUGCUAGAGCUAAGUUUUUAACAAACGUCCAAAUACAGCUAUCAUCGGCGUAUUGAACUAAAAUGCACUUGUUGUGGAAGCAUUUAUCCAUAUCACUGGUAUAUAUAUUAUAAAGCAACGGACUUAAAACAGAUCCCUGCGUUAAUCCGAUGAAACUACAACGAAUUUGUGCUAUCUUAUUGUUUUGUUCAAAAUGCAAUUCCUUGAAAGAGAGCAAUGAAUAAAGAAAGUUUACUAGGGUAAUUGUUCCCAUCGUUGUGGUAGUACCUAAUGUUGCGGUAAUGGUUAAUUGAGCACUUUUUCGACUGAAAUUUUACCAAAAGGUAUUUUUAAUAGAUGUAUUGUGCUUAAAUUAUGAGAUUGCACCAUUUGUUUGCUUAAGAUUUGCCCAAAAACCUAUUUAAAAAAAAAAUAUUUUCCUUAAUGUGUUUGCUGCUGUGUUCCUAUUGUUGCGGUAGUGUUCCUAAUGUUGCGGUAUCCCAUAUGAUUUCAAUGGGAUACCGCAACAUUAGGAACAAAUACCGCAACAUUAGGAACAAAUACCGCAACAAUAGGAACACAAUGUUCUUUUAGAUAAAAACGAAUAAAAUGCUCAUAACAACCUCAAACUGGCAAUAUUUCGUUAUUUUCCCGUAGAUAAAGGAUAGAUUUUAUUAUUUUUAAUUCAAUCCAUGUAAAAAAUUUGCUUGGGGCGAUACAAUUGUGGUUUAAGCAUGAACCCAGUGCUUAACUGCUCCAUGAUCGGAUCAAUUACCCUAGUUGAUUUGGAACUCCUAGGUCGUUCAUCUUUUUACAGAGUACAUCAAUUAAUACAGAGUCAUAGGCACCUUUGAUGUCCAAAAAUACAGUUGCAAGCUCCUGUUUCAAAGUAUAGGCUAAUUGAAUAUCGGUUGCCAAUAACACUUGACAGUCUCGUGUACUUCUGGAUUGUCUUAAUCCAUACUGUGUAGGAAAUAAAAUGUUAUUCUUUUCGGCCCAGGACUCUAAACGAAAUUGAAUCAUUUUCUCCAAAGUUUUCCGAUAACACGAUAGUAUCCCAAUGGGACGGUAUGACUCUGCAUAGCAUGGAUUUUUGCCAGGUUUUUGAAUUACCACAAUUUUAACAGCUGACCAUGAUCUGGGAAUGGCAUUAUUUUGAACAACCCAAUUGAAACAGUUUAGUAAAAGCUGCUUAGUUUGUUCUGGUAAUUUUUUAAUUAAAAGGAAUUUCACGUUGUCUAGUCCUGGUGAUGUAUUAUUACAAGCUGAUAGGGCAUGUUCCAGUUCAGCAAUAGCAUAGUCCUGAUUUAAAUCUAAGGCAGAAUCCGAGUUUUCACUUCUAAAUUUCGGGCUAUCACCCGGAACAAAUGAAGGGCAUAUAAUUUGAGCAAAAUCUUAAAUCCAUUCAGAAUUAUACCUAUCCAAGUUACACGGCGUUUACUUUUUGCUUCUAUUUUUCGGUAAUUCAGAUAAUGUUCAGUCAAACCUGAUCUUCUGAACAUUUUGAAUGCUUCUGAUCUUUGAUUGACAAUUUCGGUGCAAUCUGAAUCCCACCAUAUUGUAGGAGUUUUUGAUCGGCGAGGGUUUUUCAUUAUUGCGGCUUCAUAGAUAGCCUAAGUCAAUAAAGGAUAUAGUUCAUUCGGUUGAAUAUCAUGGAAGUUUACGGUAGCAUUCAAAAUCGAUGAUGAGUAAUCAUCCCAAUUUAUGUGUCGGUAGAGAUCAAACGAUAUAGUUGUAUGUUCGAAAUUGUAAGUACCAAAUGUUGUAUGGACAGAAAGGUGGUCACUGUUUGCUGGAUCGUUCAUGACUGUCCAGGAUGAAUUUAGUGCAAGGGCUGAAGAACACAAAGACAAAUCAACUCGGCUACAUUUUUGAGGUGGCCAAGCUAUACGCGUAAUUUCUCCAGUAUUUAAAACAGAAAGUUGAAACUCGUCUAGCGCAUCAUAAAUAAGAUUAGCUCUAGCGUCAUCUACUGAUUCUCCCCAUUCAGUGCCGUGUGAAUUAAAAUCGCCUAAUAUAAAUGCUGGCUGAGGAAUUUGGCGAAUUACGUUACGCAAUAUGUUGUGAUCUAAUUUUGCUGAUGGAGCUAUGUAAACGGAAGCAACUGUAACUCUUCGUUUAUCGAUUAUGAUGGAACACGCGACUAUUUCAAUUGGGAAAGAACUGUCGAUCCUUACACGUUCGAAAGAGUAGUUACUUUUAAUGCCAAUCAAUACUCCUCCGGCUCGAGUAUCACGAUCCAGACGAACAAUGUUAAACGAGGGAACGCUGAAGAACAAACUUUCCACAAGGAAUGUUUCCGAGAGUACGAAGCAAUCUGCUUCUAUCUGAUUAAUAAAAUUACGAAGAUCUCCUAUUUUUGGCAAAAUGCUUCUGCAAUUCCAUUGUAAAAUGUAAAACCUAUUUUUAUGAUUUGAAUUAGCCAUCGAUAGAUACAAACAAACCAAGGAGGGGCAAUGACGUUAUGAGUUUGGAGAGAAUGGUCUUGAGGAUGGGAGUCAAUUUCAACAAAAGGUUGACCCAGAGGUUACUUAGAUCAAAAGUUUCUGUGAAGAGGUGAAUCAGCUGAGGAAUAUCGAAUUUAUCGGUGCUUUGCUUCGACUGGUUCGCGGAAGUUUCUUCCUGAUGGUGGGAGCGGUGGAAAAUCGUCUUUCUUGAAUCCAGGAAUUUCUUGAGACGACCUCGUUUGUUUCGAAGAUUGGUCUAAAGGGAACGAAAUCUUUUCGUUCUCCUGUUUUGCACGUUUUGGGUUUUUAACUGGUCGCAGUUUUUUCCUCUUUGGAGGAACGUACCUGCUAUGAUGUGCUUCCUCCGCUUCUUCAUCAAAAUCUGACAUGUCACUCAACGAACUGUAGGUGUUUUCAUGCUCAAAGCUUUGCGAAACCGAAGCUUUUACCAUGGCUGCGUAACUCAUUUUUGACUUCUGAACAACUCUCGCUUUGGCUAGCUUCAUCUGUUUUUUAUAUAUGGGCCACUCAUUCUUGUACAUGUGAGAACCCUUGCAAUACAGACAAGCUGGUUGCUCAAUUGUACAUUCACCUUCUGUGUGGCGUUUACCACUCGUAUCACAACAAGCCUUAUUCGAACAAUAGGUUUGUGUAUGACCAAACCUUUUGCAUUUCGCACAAAGCAUGACCUUCGGGGUAUAUACGCGAACACGAAUGAGAGCCUGACCUAUUUCGACAUAAUCUGGAAGAAUUGUUCCUUCAAACGUAACACGAAUAUCGUUGCUGGGAAUGUAGGUUUUCGUAUUGCCUUCGACCUGCACUUCGGCUAGUUGUUGGCAUUCAAGAAUAGACACCUGAGGAAUACGCGGAUCAUCAAAUCUUCCGAACCCCUCAUUAGUAAGGCCCCCUCAGGACCCCGCAGGUCCAUUUCAGCUUGAUUAAUUACCCCAUCGAUCUCUACUCUUUCGCUAGUAAUGUAGACUCGAUAAAGCCGGCUGAGAAGCUCGUUAUAUACUACAUUGUUGGCUUCUGACCGGUGGGAGAAAACAAUGCGAACCUUAAUGAAUCCGAGCUGUUUAACUUCCUUCACUGACCAAAAAUGUUUAUGAACUUCUGCGGAAACGAGUAGAACCUUUACUGGCUUAUCUUUCUGGCGAACGAACACUUCGAACGGACCCUUACAGGACUCUGGGUAGCAUCUGUGCCGAAGAGGCAUUUGGUUAGGAAGUGUCUGAGAGGCAUUGGCGGUUGGCGACGGAGGCGUGGAGGAGGUGGCUUUGGGUGAUGACGACGGCAGUGAUGGUGGAUGGACGUGGGCUGAUGGCAGUUGUUGAGGCUGGGCACGAAGGUCAGCUUGGGUGGACGAUGAGAGCACUGGCGGCGGAGGAGGAUCGGACUGAGACAGUUGUGAUUGUAGAAUCGGCUGUAGCUGCUGAGCGGAACUUUGAGGGUCAGGAGGCUUAACCUUAAGCGGGGGUUCCUCACUGUGGUCACUGUCUUGGUCCAUGACUUGCAAUGGAAGCAACGCUCCCAAGCAGGUCCGACCCUUUGUUGGUCUCGAAACUACAGGCACUCGAUUAGAAAAAAUGAACGUAAAAAAGUACUUAUCUGGAAGUAAAGCCGAAAGAGAGAUAGCGCAACAAAUGAGAUCCAUGAGAUCACAGCACCAAUAUACAUUUCUGUACUGAAACGCAGCUGGAUAUAAGACACAACCGUACUCGUCAAUAGAUGCGAAGCAACUGUGUUACCUGGUUAUCAUUCGUUUGAUAAUAGAGUUUGUUAUCAUUUAGAUUGAAUUAAGAGCCAACAUAACAAAAAUAAUAACUUAAAUUUACUUCGCGAAUACCAAAAUGAUAAGAAGUUAAGUUAUCAUUGAGAUCAAGUUUAUAACUAAUUGUGUUAUACAAUAUUUUGUUGAACAUUACAUUUAGUUAUCAACAUGAAAAAUUACGGCUGAUUGAUAACUGGUUUUGUUAUCAAUUAGUUAUCAUUAAGAGCUAUUUUAUCGACCAAAUUAGUAAAAAUCUACUUUACCGACGCCAUCAGUAAUUGAAAAAAAUUUCUUAUAAUUUACAACUAAUGUUGUCAACUAUUGCGCCCAGGCGGGUCUUGAACCCUGAUCGAGUGAUUGCCGGUCGCAGCCGAUAGCCCCUAUACCAACGGGACUCAGUGAGAGUAAUUGAAGGCUACGCUUUCGUACUGCAGUCGCAUUGAAGGUGGAAAACUGAAUCUAUUUUUAGAUUCGAGGUUCACCAGACACUCAGUUUUGGGAAAGCUUUGACAUAUGCGUUUUGAAGCUGAUAACAUAUUGUCGCGCUUAUCUUUUCUUAGAGUCCUGCGGCGGUCGUACGCUCGCAAGGCAUACCGCCGCAUGACAGUCGCAAGGCAAAACAAAAGAAAAAGUGUUUCCGCCAAUAACAAAAGCACGUGGGUUUCGCAAAGUGACACAUGUUUUGAAUGUAUUUGUGACGAACGGCAAGAGUCCCGGAUAAAAAAUUACCAUUCAGUACAUGGUAAAUAUUAUUAACAUAUGACUGGUUUUAUUGUUCACAAUUAUACACAUAGAAGAUAUAUUGUUACUUUUUACAAUAGAAAUCAUAUGGGCUUGAAGUUCGUACAAUAAGUGAACAUUAGCUUUAUUAGUGACUAAUUAAUUCGAUUGUUUUUCAAUAGUUCUAUAAUAAUUUGAAAUUACUAUCAGUAAAAAUUAAUUUAAGUUGUUUUUAUAGAGUUGCAAAAGUGCCUGCAAAGUUCUCUUGGACUUUUUAUUAAAAAAGAGAUUAUUUCUCAAUUACA